rnacentral:rRNA from 1 species
UACGUAGGGUGCGAGCGUUGUCCGGAAUUAUUGGGCGUAAAGAGCUUGUAGGCGGUUUGUCGCGUCUGCUGUGAAAAUCCGGGGCUCAACCCCGGACUUGCAGUGGGUACGGGCAGACUAGAGUGUGGUAGGGGAGACUGGAAUUCCUGGUGUAGCGGUGAAAUGCGCAGAUAUCAGGAGGAACACCGAUGGCGAAGGCAGGUCACUGGGCCGCAACUGACGCUGAGGAGCGAAAGCGUGGGGAGCGAACAGG